UAUCUUUAUUUUAAUUUUUCUUGCUGAAUUAGUCUUCUCCUUCCUCUGGAACUCUGGUGCCUUCGGCGACUUGGCCUCACUCGAUCGACCUCAACAUCAUGGCCGCCGCAUUUUUUGUGCCCUUCUUUUCAUCUUUGAAUUUUAAUACUCGUGGCCAUAACAUGAGUACUGAUCAGGUUGAUCGUCAAUUGCAGUAGGAGAGAGGUUUAUCCUCCAUGGCACUAUAUCCUUAGCAUGUUUCAUCCCAAUGUGGAAGUAGUAGUGUAGCAACAGGAACUAGAGCUGGGCUUUUUGGAACACAUAUUUCAGCUCAUGGUUUACCGCCUCCCCUAGCCUUAAUUAGUCGUUCGUAAUCUUAUGGAGCGGGCCAGGUUUGCUUAUUUAUGCACAGCACCGUAAUGUCUUGAAUGCACCAUCGCCCUGAAGGAUUGGUACGCUCGUAGAUUUUGCACUUGAUCCUGCACCUCUCAUGUAAAGUCACGGUAAGAAUGGGGCAGCUCGGAACACGGCGUUAAUGGAGGCAAAAUAGAGGCUCGAUUGUUGUCUCCAGAGCUCUGUUUUUUUCUUUUUUUAACAAAAAGUAAAUACGGUUAGAUUUUUAUAUUAGCGUAUAUUUGAAAAUAAAUUAAAUUAUAAAUAAAAAAUAAAAAAUAUGCAUAAUUAAUUACGCAUAAUUUAAAUAAAAAAUUAUGCAUAUUAAAUUUAUAUAGGUAAUUAUGUUUUUUAAUUUGGACAGUUUGUAUGUAUUUUAUUUAUUUUUUUUUAUAGUAAAGUUAAUAUUGGUAGUGCA